rnacentral:rRNA from 1 species
UAGGGAAUCUUCCACAAUGGGCGCAAGCCUGAUGGAGCAACGCCGCGUGAGUGAAGAAGGUCUUCGGAUCGUAAAGCUCUGUUGUAAGAGAAGAACGUGUGUGAGAGUGGAAAGUUCACACAGUGACGGUAACUUACCAGAAAGGGACGGCUAACUACGUGCCAG